GGGGUGAGGCAGGAUACGCCCCUGGAGGCGACAGACAGCUACUGGCCGUUGGAACGAGGAGAGGAUGGAGGGAGGGGUGAGGCAGAAUGACGCCCCCUGGAGGCGACAGACAGCUACUGGCCGUUGGAACGAGGAGAGGAUGGAGGGAGGGGUGA